rnacentral:rRNA from 1 species
AGUGAACGCUGGCGGUAGGCCUAACACAUGCAAGUCGAACGGCAGCACAGUAAGAGCUUGCUCUUACGGGUGGCGAGUGGCGGACGGGUGAGGAAUACAUCGGAAUCUACUUUUUCGUGGGGGAUAACGUAGGGAAACUUACGCUAAUACCGCAUACGACCUACGGGUGAAAGCAGGGGAUCUUCGGACCUUGCGCGAUUGAAUGAGCCGAUGUCGGAUUAGCUAGUUGGCGGGGUAGAGGCCCACCAAGGCGACGAUCCGUAGCUGGUCUGAGAGGAUGAUCAGCCACACUGGAACUGAGACACGGUCCAGACUCCUACGGGAGGCAGCAGUGGGGAAUAUUGGACAAUGGGCGCAAGCCUGAUCCAGCCAUACCGCGUGGGUGAAGAAGGCCUUCGGGUUGUAAAGCCCUUUUGUUGGGAAAGAAAAGCAGCAGGUUAAUACCCCGCUGUUCUGACGGUACCCAAAGUAUAAGCACCGGCUAACUUCGUG